rnacentral:rRNA from 1 species
CACUGUCACUCCUACGGGGAGGCACAGUGGGGGAAUAUUGCACAAUGGGCGCAAGCCUGAUGCAGCCAUGCCGCGUGUGUGAAGAAGGCCUUCGGGUUGUAAAGCACUUUCAGUCGUGAGGAAGGUGGUAGUGUUAAUAGCACUAUCAUUUGACGUUAGCGACAGAAGAAAGCACCGGCUAACUCCGUGCCAGCAGCCGCGGUAAUACGGAGGGUGCGAGCGUUAAUCGGAAUUACUGGGCGUAAAGCGCAUGCAGGUGGUUUGUUAAGUCAGAUGUGAAAGCCCGGGGCUCAACCUCGGAAUAGCAUUUGAAACUGGCAGACUAGAGUACUGUAGAGGGGGGGUAGGAAUUUCAGGUGUAGCGGUGAAAAUGCGUAGAGAUCUGAAGGAAUACCGGUGGCGAAGGCGGCCCCCUGGACAGAUACUGACACUCAGAUGCGAAAGCGUGGGGAGCAAACAGGAUUAGAUACCCUGGUAG